UGCUUACACAUGCAAGUCGAACGGCAGCACGGAGCUUGCUCUGGUGGCGAGUGGCGAACGGGUGAGUAAUAUAUCGGAACGUACCCUGGAGUGGGGGAUAACGUAGCGAAAGUUACGCUAAUACCGCAUACGAUCUAAGGAUGAAAGUGGGGGAUCGCAAGACCUCAUGCUCGUGGAGCGGCCGAUAUCUGAUUAGCUAGUUGGUAGGGUAAAAGCCUACCAAGGCAUCGAUCAGUAGCUGGUCUGAGAGGACGACCAGCCACACUGGAACUGAGACACGGUCCAGACUCCUACGGGAGGCAGCAGUGGGGAAUUUUGGACAAUGGGCGAAAGCCUGAUCCAGCAAUGCCGCGUGAGUGAAGAAGGCCUUCGGGUUGUAAAGCUCUUUUGUCAGGGAAGAAACGGUGAAGGCUAAUAUCCUUUGCUAAUGACGGUACCUGAAGAAUAAGCACCGGCUAACUACG
rnacentral:rRNA from 1 species